CACGUAGGGCGCAAGCGUUGUCCGGAAUUAUUGGGCGUAAAGAGCUCGUAGGCGGUCUGUUACGUCUGCUGUGAAAACCCAGGGCUUAACCCUGGGCUUGCAGUGGAUACGGGCAGACUAGAGGCAGGUAGGGGAGAAUGGAAUUCCCGGUGUAGCGGUGAAAUGCGCAGAUAUCGGGAGGAACACCGGUGGCGAAGGCGGCACGCUGGACCUCUUCUGACGCUGAGGCGCGAAAGCCAGGGGAGCAAACGGG
rnacentral:rRNA from 1 species